AUAGCAUUUUAUACCAGCACUUUGAGGAUGAAGAAGGGAGGGACAGAGGAGCAAAUAAAGGAGUGACACAGCAAAAGGAGGGGAAAAAAGAGGAAGUUGUAAAAUGACAACAAACAUCAAGGAGCCCCACUUGACCACCGGGGUGAGAGGAUGGAGACUGUGGGUCACAGAAAGCCAGAGCAGGGGCAGCGUGCCAGAGGCUGGAGAUGGUAGCAGGAAUGCUAAUGGAGCCAUAACCACCACUAAUACCUUUAACAGCAUCCUGGCAGAGCUCCUCAAGCCAGGCCUCUUAAUCUCAGUUCUGGAAGCUGGCUUAUUUCCUUGACCCACCACCCUUCCUCUUUGUCGUCACUUGAGUAGCUGAUGUGCGAUGAGUCAACUUGGGUGCUUCUUGGAUUCUACCCUGAGAAGGAUGGUGUGCAGACAGAUCCGUGUAUGUCGGAUGUGGGUCACAAGGUCCAUGGUGCUGGUUCGCUGACAUCUGUGUGGCACCGUUGUAGUCCAUGCUUGCCGACUGGUGGUGUGGUAGGUGAUUGAGGCCAUACAUAGAAGGCCCAGUGGCAGGCAUGGCAUCAACAUAGUUACCUCCUACAUACACAGGGCUACCCUGCAUGUUUGGUGUCCCAUAGUUGCCACUGUUACCCUGUAGCCCGUGUGGGUCAUAAUCCGGUGGUGUGUUUCCAUACUUCUGUUGGGGUGGGCAACCUUUCAUUGGGUUCUGAUAGGCUGUUGACAUGGCGUAUGCAUUUUGAUGGGGUUUGUUAAAAGAUGGUGGAGAGGGAGCAUCGUAACUGCCCAUUGAGUGCAUAGAGUUCAUAAAACCAGCUGAGGACUGCAUUGGAAGAGGUGGA
rnacentral:lncRNA from 1 species